UACGUAGGGCGCAAGCGUUAUCCGGAAUCACUGGGCGUAAAGCGUCUGUAGGUGGUUUCAAAAGUCCACUGUUAAAGAUUGAAGCUUAACUUCAAAAAUGCCGUGGAAACUUUGAAACUUGAGUAUGAUAGGGGUAGAGGGAAUUUCCAGUGGAGCGGUGAAAUGCGUAGAUAUUGGAAAGACCACCAAUGGCGAAGGCACUCUACUGGGCCAUUACUGACACUGAGAGACGAAAGCUAGGGGAGCAAAUGGG
rnacentral:rRNA from 1 species